rnacentral:rRNA from 1 species
UACGUAGGGAGCAAGCGUUGUCCGGAAUCAUUGGGCGUAAAGCGCGCGUAGGUGGCCAUGUAAGUCCGCUGUGAAAGUCAAAGGCUCAACCUUUGAAAAGCCGGUGAUACUGCACGGCUAGAGUACGGAAGAGGCGAGUGGAAUUCCUGGUGUAGCGGUGGAAUGCGCAGAUAUCAGGAGGAACACCAAUAGCGAAGGCAGCUCGCUGGGACGUUACUGACACUGAGGCGCGAAAGCGUGGGGAGCGAACAGG